UACGUAGGUGGCAAGCGUUGUCCGGAAUUAUUGGGCGUAAAGCGCGCGCAGGCGGUCUUUUAAGUUUGACGUGAAAGCUCCCGGCUUAACUGGGAGAGGUCGUUGAAGACUGGAAGACUUGAGGCAAUGAGAGGGGUGUAGAAUUCCCGGUGUAGUGGUGGAAUGCGUAGAUAUCGGGGGGAAUACCAGUGGCGAAAGCGGCACCCUAGCGUUAGCCUGACGCUCAUGUGCGAAAGCGUGGGGAGCGAACGGG
rnacentral:rRNA from 1 species